GACGAACGCUGGCGGCGUGCUUAACACAUGCAAGUCGAACGGAAAGGCCCUGCUCGCCGUGUACUCGAGUGGCGAACGGGUGAGUAACACGUGGGUGAUCUGCCCUGCACUUCGGGUUAAGCCUGGGAAACUGGGUCUAUUACCGGAUAGGAGCCAUUUUUAGUGUGAUGGUUGGAAAGUUUUUUCGGUGUAGGAUGAGCUCGCGGCCUAUCAGCUUGUUGGUGGGGUAAUGGCCUACCAAGGCGGCGACGGGUAGCCGGCCUGAGAGGGUGGACGGCCACAUUGGGACUGAGGGACGGCCCAGACUCCUACGGGAGGCAGCGGUGGGGAAUAUGGCACAAUGGGCGCAAGCCUGAUGCGGCGACGCCGCGUGGGGGAUGACGGCCUUCGGGUUGUAAACUCCUUUCGCUAGGGACGAAGCUUUUUGUGACGGUACCUAGAUAAGAAGCACCGGCUAACUACGU
rnacentral:rRNA from 1 species